UCGGGAAUAUUGCGCAAUGGAGGAAACUCUGACGCAGUGACGCCGCGUGCAGGAAGAAGGUUUUCGGAUUGUAAACUGCUUUAGACAGGGAAGAAACAAGACAGUACCUGUAGAAUAAGCUCCGGCUAACUACGUGCCAGCAGCCGCGGUAAUACGUAGGGAGCAAGCGUUAUCCGGAUUUAUUGGGUGUAAAGGGUGCGUAGACGGGAAUGCAAGUUGGUUGUGAAAUCCCUCGGCUCAACCGAGGAAUUUGCAACCAAAAUCUAUAUUUCUUGAGUGCUGGAGAGGAAAGUGGAAUUCCUAGUGUAGCGGUGAAAUGCGUAGAUAUUAGGAGGAACACCAGUGGCGAAGGCGACUUUCUGGACAGUAACUGACGUUGAAGCACGAAAGUGUGGGGAGCAAACAGGAUUAGAUACCC
rnacentral:rRNA from 1 species